UACGUAGGGCGCAAGCGUUGUCCGGAAUUAUUGGGCGUAAAGAGCGCGUAGGCGGUUUGGCGCGUCUGGCGUGAAAGUCCCGGGCUUAACCCCGGAUCUGCGGUGGGUACGGGCAGACUAGAGUGCAGUAGGGGAGACUGGAAUUCCUGGUGUAGCGGUGAAAUGCGGAGAUAUCAGGAGGAACACCGAUGGCGAAGGCAGGUCUCUGGGCUGUAACUGACGCUGAGGAGCGAAAGCAUGGGGAGCGAACAGG
rnacentral:rRNA from 1 species